GAACAGUACGAAAAGAAGUAAAAGAAAAAAAGAACAGGCGCAAAAAGGAAAGGAAGAAGGGAAAUCUUUGUCCGAUUAGGUAGCCGAACGAAUGGAUUCGUGGAUGAAUUCGGUCUGAAAUGGCAAUUAAGCCAGCCAUGCAUUUUCUAGGGCUCGCUGGCCGGCCAGCGAAUUUCAGAGCCGAGUCGUUCCUCGAAUAAGGGGAUGGAGGAAACUGCAACGGAGGAGGACGCAAAGGAGAUAGGAAUUCCUGCAACGUAAGUGGAGGCUAGGAAUCCGAUCGAAGGAGUGCGUCUCGGUGGCGCCGUUGCGUCUCUGCGUAGUAGUCGAGACGGUAGUCUGGGAACGUGCCGUUCCAGGGCGUCCGUUUACUUAGCGGGGAAAAAAGAAAGGAUAGAUGGAACAGAUUGAUUGCACGGGUAACGGGGGGGGAGGGGGGAUCUUACGAAAAUGCGGCUGCGCUUCGU